AAGAGGGAACCCGGUGCGAAUCCGGGACUGCCCCGCAGCGGUGAGUGGGAACGAACGCCGUCAACAGCACUGGGCCCUCGGUCCGGGAAGCGACGGCCGGUAGGACGGCCGGCAGUGAGCCGGAGGUGCCCGCGAGUCCGAAGACCU
rnacentral:ncRNA from 2 species